ACACUGGUAAUUUUAACAUUUUUCAACCAGAUUUGUCGAGCUUUAGUUUUGGCCAUUUUGUAAAUUUCUUCAACAUGCUGGUAGAUCCUAGAUCUCAAAGAGCCGAGAGAAAUAGCAUGGAAGUAGCUGUACUGCAGAUAGGGAACGUGGUUUUAAUAGAUAUAGGAAUUAGUUUUGAAAUCCAGGAAAACAGUGAAAUUCUCUUGCUUAAUGCCACCAUCACUUGAGCCUUGACUCUUGAGCUAGGUAAUAAAGUCAAAUCAAGUUAUAUUGAAUUGUCGUUGUUAAAACAGUGAAUCUUUCCCAUAAGUAGUUUAAAAAUUUGUGAAUCAGGAUCUUUAGUUUUAACGGUUUUAACAUGGUAAGAAUAUAUAGCAUAAAUAUGGUGAUGUCCUGACGUGUCUUUGCUGUGUCCCACCCUCGGUUAAGAAAUUAUUCACGACCACAGUUUACAGUCGGACUUUUGCCGCUUAAAUUGGCUGAUUCCCUGACAUCUGCACUGCAUUCUUUAUAAAAUUGAUAACACAGCCUAAAAUUUGUACUUGGCAAUUCCAUGUGAUCAUGUGGCCUGAAACUGCUGUACAUUUUCCCAAAAUGAAAAUGUCGUCUCUUAUUGCAAGUACCGGCUGUAGGCUGUACGUUUCGUCACAUACAGAAAUACUUCAGAACAGUAAAAGUAAUUGUGUUGGUCAACUUUUUUACCCUAAGCCUGAUGAAGUCAGAGCUUCUUCAUUGCAGUCCAAACUCCAACGUGCAUGUGGAUUUGUUGCAGCCAGCUGGUGUAAGUAGGAUUAACAGCCUCUUAAGGUCUGAGCCUCUUCAUUGCAGUCCAAUGUACACAUGAAUAUGGUGCAGCCAGGUGGUGAACGGUGUAGUGAGCUGUUGCAUGACGUGUGUAAAAUUGUGUCCACCAGUAUGUUCGUGAGAAACGAAAAACCGGCAUUUUCUUUUUAGACAGUGGACGGAAAUGCGUUUCCGACGGUGUUUUUCACUUUUGCAUUUAAUAAUGAUGAGGUAUUUUUACGCCAUUGGACCAAGUUGAAUCGAAAGUGAACAACUCUAAAGCAUUUUGUGAAAGCAUGUGGAAGAUUUUGCCUGUCUCCGCGUGAUCGCUGUUGUGUCAUGAAGAUGUGUGUUUGAGAGCGUCUCUACAACAUUGCAAGAUGAAAAUUUGAUAAAACAGGAAAUCUGAAAUGUCUAAUGUUAGCUUAUGGUUUUCCUGUUUGGUGUAAAGUGGUUUUGCAGUCCCUUUCCAGUUACGAGAUGCUCUGAAAUGGAGCUUGUGCAGACUUGCAGUUCAACAUCACACUAAAAUGUGUCAUUUGCCUAUGUUUGUGUCCGUGCAGUAUAUGCCGUGUUGAAAAGUCAGGGUUAUUUAAAUAGUCAAUGUUGCCUGAUGGCUGUCGGUCUUGUUUUAUCGGCUGCAUUUUGUCGAUAUGUCGUCUUUUGUUACCUGUACAAGCG